GUUAGGUGAGCCAACCAAAGUUGGGCUUAAUCAUUCGUUGGUUAGAUGUAUCAAGUAUGGUCAUGUUAAUGGUUGGACCUAAUCAGAUCCUUACAGUAGAGGCGAAAGCCUAUUGAUUAGGUUUCUGGAGCAAAAUUAAAUUACUAAAAGUUGUUUGGAGAAAUAAUUGGUUAAUGAACCUACUCGUAGAUGUAGAUAGGUUGGCCAACCAA
rnacentral:lncRNA from 1 species